GAUGAAGAACGUAGCGAAAUGCGAUAAGUAAUGUGAAUUGCAGAAUUCAGUGAAUCAUCGAAUCUUUGAACGCAUCUUGCGCUCCUUGGUAUUCUGAGGAGCAUGCCUGUUUGAGUGUCAUUAAAUUCUCAACCGCACUGACUUUGAAUUGGUGUGGCUUGGAUUUGGGGGGAAAAUUGUUGUGGGCUUUUUUGUAUAGUCUGCUCCCCUGAAAUUGAUUAGCGGUACCUUUGUGGAACUGUCUACAGGUGUGAUAAUUAUCUACGUCCUAGACAUCUGCUGGAAUGCUGCUUUCUAAACCUUACUUGUAUUGACAAUCUUGACCUCAAAUCAGGUAGGACUACCCGCUGAACUUAAGCAUAUCAAUAAGCGGAGGA
rnacentral:misc_RNA from 1 species